rnacentral:rRNA from 1 species
GAUGAACGCUGGCGGCGUGCCUAAUACAUGCAAGUCGAGCGAACGGACGAGAAGCUUGCUUUUCUGAUGUUAGCGGCGGACGGGUGAGUAACACGUGGAUAACCUGCCUAUAAGACUGGGAUAACUUCGGGAAACCGGAGCUAAUACCGGAUAAUAUUUUGAACCGCAUGGUUCAAAAGUGAAAGACGGUCUUGCUGCCACUUAUAGAUGGAUCCGCGCUGCAUUAGCUAGUUGGUAAGGUAACGGCUUACCAAGGCAACGAUGCAUAGCCGACCUGAGAGGGUGAUCGGCCACACUGGAACUGAGACACGGUCCAGACUCCUACGGGAGGCAGCAGUAGGGAAUCUUCCGCAAUGGGCGAAAGCCUGACGGAGCAACGCCGCGUGAGUGAUGAAGGUCUUCGGAUCGUAAAACUCUGUUAUUAGGGAAGAACAUAUGUGUAAGUAACUGUGCACAUCUUGACGGUACCUAAUCAGAAAGCCACGGCUAACUACGUG